rnacentral:lncRNA from 1 species
UAUAAUUAUAUACGUUAACGUUUCGAUUGAAAAAUUGAACGUUAUCGAGCUAAAAAGCGUUAUCAAUCCAGGUAUUUUCCCUGCUUCGGCUUUAAAAGCCUUGAAACUAUAAUAGCUUUCUAAGAUGCCUCGAAAACUUCACCUUCGAUUCGAUCCGGGUAAUUACAUCGAGAGGAAAAUCGCGUGACAUUUUAAGCGUCACACUCGUAUAAAAUUAAUACCGUAGUCAAGGAUCCCGAUAUUGCUUCGAAUUUUUCUUUUUUUUAUUAAACACGUUUCGUAUUUUCGUUCUCUCUCGACCCGAUAAAACAAAGGCGGGAAGAUAAGUCACGUGACUUCCGGAGCGACUCGCUUCCACGAAGGGGUGAGCGCGAUGGCCGCAAUGUCCUGUGUGUCACGUUUCAACAAUCGAGCGUUAAAACAGUGUCCACGAUGAUGGGAAACGAUCACGGUUUCUUUCUUUUUUUUUUUUUUAGAAAGAAAAAAGAAAAACCGCAAUUUCCUUCGAGAGUAGCGGAAUCAAGGAUACGGAUACUUUCCCUCGUGUCGCGGCUCGUGGAAUCCGUUUGUUCUGGAAUUACAACGCGGGGGAAAAAGGCCUUGAUAUUUUGAUGCAAAUUGUGACUUAUAAUCGAGAAAAGUUAUACACAAGGAUAUAUUAUAUCUUUAAGUACGAAAUAAAAUCGAUCAGUUCAAUUUUGUAAGAAGAACGCGUUUAAAUUAUUAUCUCGUACAAUUACGCGAUAUUCCUUUUUUUUUUCUCUCUCUCUUCCAUAUCACUUUAUUUAUCACGUUAUUGGACAAGGUAACGUUUAUGUAAUUUUAACGCCUUGCCUCGCUCCUUAGAUCUUAAUUGCUUAACAGGCUAAUACCAGGUUUAACCUGAGAAAACACGCAAUAAUAACACGUCAUCAUCGAGUCGUACAAGUGCCAAGCACCACUAGCUUCUCUAAUACGGAUUUUAUUUCCAGAAGCAGAAAGGAAGAGAGAUACGAUCUCUGUAUUUUCCAUAUUUACCGAUUAUCGAUCUUCGGCCCCAAUUGAAUUCUUUAUUGAUUGUCGAGGGUUCAACAAACCUGACAGUCAAGUCAAGAGGGAGGAGGAGGAGGAGGAAUCGGAAGAUAAAGGAACGAGCAAGCUUUUUAUCCGCGGUUGCCAAUUAUCAAGCGGGGAAGAGCGAUCUCGGUCACCCUUCAAGAUUCUGACCUGACCUCGGAUCGGAAUUGAAGCGUCGGGGACUUCUUAAAGCCCGUACAUAGUGGCCGGCAAUCCUGGCCAAUCAGCGGACAAACAGACGCGCCGGGAAUAAAGAAAUUAAUUUAAUCUUUCCUCGUCAAAAUCGCAAUGGAGAAAACGAUCUCGUGCGAAUAUCUGUUGAGGUAUUUCUAUUGAUUCGUCGAUCUUGAAAAUUUUUGGGUUCCUGGUUGCUUUAAAUGUCAAUGGAGACAGUCUUAAUAAACUUUUAAGUGAUGAUUGAUUCAUGUAAUGGAAAAUUGGAAGAUUCUAUUAUCAGGAAAUAAUUUCUAGAAUUUCUAAAUAUUACUUUUCAAGAAUACAACGAUUCUCUUUACAAAAUGCAAACAAUUGGAAAUAUGAAAAUUAAAAGAUUGAAAAUUUAAGAAGAUCAGAAUUGAAAUUUGAAUAUUCAAAAGUCAAAAGAAAAAUUCAACGAUUGUCACGAAACAAAGACAUAAAUUUCAAAGUGGAAAAACUCUCUCGACUGCAAGUCUCGCGUGCUUCAAUCUAGAAGAAAAAAGAAAGAAAGAAAGAAAGAAACGUUGCGUCGAGGAGACGAAGUCUUUGCGAUUUCAAGUGCGAUUUCAUUUAGCAAAAGUCGAGUGGGUUCUCGCUCGAGACUGACGCCACUUGUCGGCGAGGAAACGAGGAAUUAAAAGGAAAAGCGUGUUAAAGGGGAAAGGCUUCCAUCCCCCUUUUAACAUUUCCGUACAACCAAUAAUGAAAUUCCCUUUUUUUCAUUUCGCCCAUCGAGCCACUCGUCGUCGAUCUGAAGAUUAAAUUAACCAUGUUUCAUCUCCCUCGAUUGUUCCUGGAAAAUAUUUUAUACACUGGAUGAAAGUGAGAAAGAUUAAUUCCCGUUAAGGAUGAAAGAAGUUGAAGGAAUGCAAUUCGCUGUUAUUCCAUUAGCAACGAUGGUUUGUGCAACGGUUUAAUUACUUUAGACGUAUCCUUGAAACUGAUAUCGUGCUUUGAAUUGUAAAUUUAGAUAAUCAGAUAAUGCGUUAUAAUUAACGAUAUAGAAUAUCCACAGGGAUUGGGACAAUUAUGGAAAAGAAAUGAAAAAAGAAGAUUGUUGAAAGCUGUUUCGGAUUAGAAAUCUCGAAAACUCUUGGAGAAGAAUUAAUUUUCACGAUAAUUGUUAUAUCGAUAAAAUUUCUUGAAACGAUUAUCAUUUCAGAUUUUCUUCAAGAAUCGACCAAGCUCUCUUUUUCGAAUUUUAUAAAUUUGAAUAAUUUAAAAAAAAAUAUCUACUCCCAUUAAUUUUCCUUCUUCGAGC